GGUCGAGCCGGCUGGGGGUUGCCUCCCUGCGGCCUGAGAACCUCCUAGGUCUCCCUGCUGGAGCUGAUUCCGACCUUCCCGCCUGAGGCAAACGCCAGCGUGGUCGGUGGGUGCCCUGGCUUCCUCCUGCCUGGGCCUGAAUGACUGGUCGCUCUGGGAGGGAACCAGGAGACUGAGUCAGGGCGGUGUGACGCUUUUAUCAUUUCUGGUUCCCUUUUUUCUCCCUUAGGGUCAGACUUGCAGAACCUUGGGAAAGGCGAUUUAUUUUUGUACACAAAGAAGAACCUAAGAGAGAUAUGUGAGCAAACUUUCAGAAUAAUCUUAUUCCUAAACUGUUGGUUUUUUUAAGCAUUAGGGAAUUGGAGGAAGGUUUCGGCUGCAGGAUCCUUCAGUGCCUCUCCUGCACCCCGUGCUCCCAAUGCUGGGGAUCAGCAGGAAGACGUCCUAAAGCAGCUGAGCCUCGGUUUCCGUUUCUCAAGUGAGCUGUGAGAAGAGACGCCUGUCGUCUGCCAGGAGAGGCGUGGGCCCUGCGACUCCGUCACCCAGGCUGCCAGUGCAGCGCAGUUUAAAGCAGGACUUGGGAAAGGCCAGAGAUGCCGAUGGGGAGCUGGAGAACUGGGUCUCCCCGAGCUUUGCAGAUGUCCAGGCGGGCCUCGGCUGGUCCCCUAGCCUCUUCGAGUUUUGUUUUUCUUAAUCCGAACAGUGAAGAUCGACCACUCGGGUAUCAAUUUCCGAGCUGCGCCCCCAGUACAGAGAUACUCC
rnacentral:lncRNA from 1 species